rnacentral:tRNA from 1 species
UCCCUGGCAGUCUAGUGGUUAGGACUCCCUGCUUCCAGAGCACGGUGUGUGGGUUCGAUCCCUGACCAGGGAA